rnacentral:rRNA from 1 species
GGUUAAGCGACUAAGCGUACACGGUGGAUGCCCUGGCAGUCAGAGGCGAUGAAGGACGUGCUAAUCUGCGAUAAGCGCCGGUAAGGUGAUAUGAACCGUUAUAACCGGCGAUUUCCGAAUGGGGAAACCCAGUGUGAUUCGUCACACUAUCAUUAACUGAAUCCAUAGGUUAAUGAGGCGAACCGGGGGAACUGAAACAUCUAAGUACCCCGAGGAAAAGAAAUCAACCGAGAUUCCCCCAGUAGCGGCGAGCGAACGGGGAGGAGCCCAGAGCCUGAAUCAGCAUGUGUGUUAGUGGAAGCGUCUGGAAAGACGCGCGAUACAGGGUGACAGCCCCGUACACAAAAGCGCAUGUGCUGUGAGCUCGAUGAGUAGGGCGGGACACGUGGUAUCCUGUCUGAAUAUGGGGGGACCAUCCUCCAAGGCUAAAUACUCCUGACUGACCGAUAGUGAACCAGUACCGUGAGGGAAAGGCGAAAAGAACCCCGGCGAGGGGAGUGAAAAAGAACCUGAAACCGUGUACGUACAAGCAGUGGGAGCACCCUUCGGGGUGUGACUGCGUACCUUUUGUAUAAUGGGUCAGCGACUUAUAUUCUGUAGCAAGGUUAACCGAAUAGGGGAGCCGGAGGGAAACCGAGUCUUAACCGGGCGUUAAGUUGCAGGGUAUAGACCCGAAACCCGGUGAUCUAGCCAUGGGCAGGUUGAAGGUUGGGUAACACUAACUGGAGGACCGAACCGACUAAUGUUGAAAAAUUAGCGGAUGACCUGUGGCUGGGGGUGAAAGGCCAAUCAAACCGGGAGAUAGCUGGUUCUCCCCGAAAGCUAUUUAGGUAGCGCCUCGUGAAUUCAUCUCCGGGGGUAGAGCACUGUUUCGGCUAGGGGGCCAUCCCGGCUUACCAACCCGAUGCAAACUGCGAAUACCGGAGAAUGUUAUCACGGGAGACACACGGCGGGUGCUAACGUCCGUCGUGAAGAGGGAAACAACCCAGACCGCCAGCUAAGGUCCCAAAGUCAUGGUUAAGUGGGAAACGAUGUGGGAAGGCCCAGACAGCCAGGAUGUUGGCUUAGAAGCAGCCAUCAUUUAAAGAAAGCGUAAUAGCUCACUGGUCGAGUCGGCCUGCGCGGAAGAUGUAACGGGGCUAAACCAUGCACCGAAGCUGCGGCAGCGACACUGUGUGUUGUUGGGUAGGGGAGCGUUCUGUAAGCCUGCGAAGGUGGCCUGUGAGGGUUGCUGGAGGUAUCAGAAGUGCGAAUGCUGACAUAAGUAACGAUAAAGCGGGUGAAAAGCCCGCUCGCCGGAAGACCAAGGGUUCCUGUCCAACGUUAAUCGGGGCAGGGUGAGUCGACCCCUAAGGCGAGGCCGAAAGGCGUAGUCGAUGGGAAACGGGUUAAUAUUCCCGUACUUGGUGUUACUGCGAAGGGGGGACGGAGAAGGCUAUGUUGGCCGGGCGACGGUUGUCCCGGUUUAAGCGUGUAGGUGUGUGUUCCAGGUAAAUCCGGUUCACUUUAACACUGAGGCGUGAUGACGAGGCACUACGGUGCUGAAGCAACAAAUGCCCUGCUUCCAGGAAAAGCCUCUAAGCAUCAGGUAACAUCAAAUCGUACCCCAAACCGACACAGGUGGUCAGGUAGAGAAUACCAAGGCGCUUGAGAGAACUCGGGUGAAGGAACUAGGCAAAAUGGUGCCGUAACUUCGGGAGAAGGCACGCUGACACGUAGGUGAAGUGAUUUACUCACGGAGCUGAAGUCAGUCGAAGAUACCAGCUGGCUGCAACUGUUUAUUAAAAACACAGCACUGUGCAAACACGAAAGUGGACGUAUACGGUGUGACGCCUGCCCGGUGCCGGAAGGUUAAUUGAUGGGGUCAGCGCAAGCGAAGCUCCUGAUCGAAGCCCCGGUAAACGGCGGCCGUAACUAUAACGGUCCUAAGGUAGCGAAAUUCCUUGUCGGGUAAGUUCCGACCUGCACGAAUGGCGUAAUGAUGGCCAGGCUGUCUCCACCCGAGACUCAGUGAAAUUGAACUCGCUGUGAAGAUGCAGUGUACCCGCGGCAAGACGGAAAGACCCCGUGAACCUUUACUAUAGCUUGACACUGAACAUUGAGCCUUGAUGUGUAGGAUAGGUGGGAGGCUUUGAAGUGUGGACGCCAGUCUGCAUGGAGCCGACCUUGAAAUACCACCCUUUAAUGUUUGAUGUUCUAACGUGGACCCGUGAUCCGGGUUGCGGACAGUGUCUGGUGGGUAGUUUGACUGGGGCGGUCUCCUCCUAAAGAGUAACGGAGGAGCACGAAGGUUGGCUAAUCCUGGUCGGACAUCAGGAGGUUAGUGCAAUGGCAUAAGCCAGCUUGACUGCGAGCGUGACGGCGCGAGCAGGUGCGAAAGCAGGUCAUAGUGAUCCGGUGGUUCUGAAUGGAAGGGCCAUCGCUCAACGGAUAAAAGGUACUCCGGGGAUAACAGGCUGAUACCGCCCAAGAGUUCAUAUCGACGGCGGUGUUUGGCACCUCGAUGUCGGCUCAUCACAUCCUGGGGCUGAAGUAGGUCCCAAGGGUAUGGCUGUUCGCCAUUUAAAGUGGUACGCGAGCUGGGUUUAGAACGUCGUGAGACAGUUCGGUCCCUAUCUGCCGUGGGCGCUGGAGAACUGAGGGGGGCUGCUCCUAGUACGAGAGGACCGGAGUGGACGCAUCACUGGUGUUCGGGUUGUCAUGCCAAUGGCACUGCCCGGUAGCUAAAUGCGGAAGAGAUAAGUGCUGAAAGCAUCUAAGCACGAAACUUGCCCCGAGAUGAGUUCUCCCUGAGACUUAGAGUCUCCUGAAGGAACGUUGAAGACGACGACGUUGAUAGGCCGGGUGUGUAAGCGCAGCGAUGCGUUGAGCUAACCGGUACUAAUGAACCGUGAGGCUUAACCUU